rnacentral:rRNA from 1 species
GUAGUCGAUGGGAAACAGGUUAAUAUUCCUGUACUUGGUGUUACUGCGAAGGGGGGACGGAGAAGGCUAUGUUGGCCGGGCGACGGUUGUCCCGGUUUAAGCGUGUAGGCUGGUUUUCCAGGCAAAUCCGGAAAAUCAAGGCUGAGGCGUGAUGACGAGGCACUACGGUGCUGAAGCAACAAAUGCCCUGCUUCCAGGAAAAGCCUCUAAGCAUCAGGUAACAUCAAAUCGUACCCCAAACCGACACAGGUGGUCAGGUAGAGAAUACCAAGGCGCUUGAGAGAACUCGGGUGAAGGAACUAGGCAAAAUGGUGCCGUAACUUCGGGAGAAGGCACGCUGAUAUGUAGGUGAAGCGACUUGCUCGUGGAGCUGAAAUCAGUCGAAGAUACCAGCUGGCUGCAACUGUUUAUUAAAAACACAGCACUGUGCAAACACGAAAGUGGACGUAUACGGUGUGACGCCUGCCCGGUGCCGGAAGGUUAAUUGAUGGGGUUAGCGGUAACGCGAAGCUCUUGAUCGAAGCCCCGGUAAACGGCGGCCGUAACUAUAACGGUCCUAAGGUAGCGAAAUUCCUUGUCGGGUAAGUUCCGACCUGCACGAAUGGCGUAAUGAUGGCCAGGCUGUCUCCACCCGAGACUCAGUGAAAUUGAACUCGCUGUGAAGAUGCAGUGUACCCGCGGCAAGACGGAAAGACCCCGUGAACCUUUACUAUAGCUUGACACUGAACAUUGAGCCUUGAUGUGUAGGAUAGGUGGGAGGCUUUGAAGUGUGGACGCCAGUCUGCAUGGAGCCGACCUUGAAAUACCACCCUUUAAUGUUUGAUGUUCUAACGUUGGCCCGUAAUCCGGGUUGCGGACAGUGUCUGGUGGGUAGUUUGACUGGGGCGGUCUCCUCCUAAAGAGUAACGGAGGAGCACGAAGGUUGGCUAAUCCUGGUCGGACAUCAGGAGGUUAGUGCAAUGGCAUAAGCCAGCUUGACUGCGAGCGUGACGGCGCGAGCAGGUGCGAAAGCAGGUCAUAGUGAUCCGGUGGUUCUGAAUGGAAGGGCCAUCGCUCAACGGAUAAAAGGUACUCCGGGGAUAACAGGCUGAUACCGCCCAAGAGUUCAUAUCGACGGCGGUGUUUGGCACCUCGAUGUCGGCUCAUCACAUCCUGGGGCUGAAGUAGGUCCCAAGGGUAUGGCUGUUCGCCAUUUAAAGUGGUACGCGAGCUGGGUUUAGAACGUCGUGAGACAGUUCGGUCCCUAUCUGCCGUGGGCGCUGGAGAACUGAGGGGGGCUGCUCCUAGUACGAGAGGACCGGAGUGGACGCAUCACUGGUGUUCGGGUUGUCAUGCCAAUGGCACUGCCCGGUAGCUAAAUGCGGAAGAGAUAAGUGCUGAAAGCAUCUAAGCACGAAACUUGCCCCGA